AAUGGGGGCAACCCUGAUCUAGCCAUGCCGCGUGAGUGAUGAAGGCCUUAGGGUCGUAAAGCUCUUUCGCCUGUGAUGAUAAUGACAGUAGCAGGUAAAGAAACCCCGGCUAACUCCGUGCCAGCAGCCGCGGUAAUACGGAGGGGGUUAGCGUUGUUCGGAAUUACUGGGCGUAAAGCGCGCGUAGGCGGAUUAGAAAGUUGGGGGUGAAAUCCCGGGGCUCAACCCCGGAACUGCCUCCAAAACUGCUAGUCUAGAGUUCGAGAGAGGUGAGUGGAAUUCCGAGUGUAGAGGUGAAAUUCGUAGAUAUUCGGAGGAACACCAGUGGCGAAGGCGGCUCACUGGCUCGAUACUGACGCUGAGGUGCGAAAGUGUGGGGAGCAAGCAGGAUU
rnacentral:rRNA from 1 species